rnacentral:rRNA from 12 species
GUUAGAGAUUUGAGAAGAGUUGCUCCUAGUACGAGAGGACCGGAGUGAACGAACCUCUGGUGUUCCGGUUGUCAUGCCAAUGGCAUUGCCGGGUAGCUAUGUUCGGACAGGAUAACCGCUGAAAGCAUCUAAGCGGGAAGCCCCCUUCAAGAUGAGAUCUCUCUGAUACUUCGAGUAUCCUGUAGGGCCCUUGAAGACUACAAGGUUGAUAGGCAAGGUGUGGAAGCGUUGUGAGGCGUUGAGCUAACUUGUACUAAUUGCCCGUGAGGCUUGA